ACGGUCCUACCUGUGCCGGGCCCCUCUGCUACAUUCGCCCGUUCACUCCGGAAAUGUCCUGCUCCAGGGGCCCACAAAGCAGCAGGCAGCAGAAGCGGUCGCGUCCCUGGCCUAGGGGCCCCGGCCACCUCUCGCCCUGAGACCCGCUGCUCAGGAUUACAGCGCAGCACUGCAGCCCCACGCAGAAGUUCGUGUCACCUGGGGAGAAACUGAAGUGCUUUUCCUAGAUCCCAUCAUACUUUCUGAUGAUUGAAAAGCAUAUCUUUACAUAGUGUACAUUUAUAUAUUGUAUUAAAAUUAGAAAUUACAUUUAGGUAUAGAAUUUCCAUGAUUGCCUUAGGAGAAAAUUGAGGGGCUUUCCUUAGAUUCUAUCAUACUUUUUGACAAUUAAAAAUAGAUAUGCAUACUUUUUUAUUGUAAUGUAGCCAUUGGGUUCUGUUUUGUGUCUUCUUCUCAAAGACCACAGCCUUGGGCACUGGUUUCAAAUCCAAGUUUUCACCACUCACACUGACACUAGGCCAGCGGCUUAGCUUCGCUAGUUUUUAAUCUAGUUUUUUCAUAUUAAUAUCUACCUUGAAACGUUGCUGUUGGGUUUACAAGAGAAACACAAGCCUAUUCCUACAAAGGCGUGUUUGUGAAUAUUUAUGGCAUCUUUUUUCAUGAGAAUGGAAAACUAGAAAUAAGUCUUCCAACCAAUGAAUGGAUCUUUAACUGCUACAGCUGUGACCACAGAAUACUACUGCUUCCUCCUGGGCAGCUGGCCCAGCCUCUCAGAAGACACCCGCACGAGCAGCUGGCCACACUUCAUACCGAGGCCCGGCCAGCUCGGGACCACACCCUGCCUUCCGCACCUCCCUUAGCUGUGUUCUACCGUUACCCACUUCUGCCGCUUCCAGCAUUGUAUCCCCUACUAACGACACAGACUAGGACCUCGGGCUUGCUCGGCGAGGAACUUAGAGGCAGACACGAGGCGGGGCUCCACGCCUGUGCUCUCGCCAAAAGAAAUGGGCCUUCGGCCUUUGCCUGCGCUCCUUUCACACUUCCUCUCCCCCUUCCUGGGAGCUGACACUGAACUACAAGCCAGCUAAGCAAGCAACCUCCAAGACGGAGGGACCCAGCACGGAAGGCACUGGUCCCUGGACGAGCCUGUGGGAGGAAGACUGCCUGCCUGGAAGACAUUCAUCUCAGGACUGCUGCACAAGAAGGAAUGGAAACGCCACACUCUCUAAUCCACUGCAUUUGGGGUCUUUUUGGUAUAGCAGCAUAACCUUUGCUUAAGCUUGGUGAUCAAAUAUUCUGUCACUAAAAUUGCAACCAUUUUAGGGACAGCAGAGGUGCUAUUAGUAAUGAUGCUAGAUAAUAGGAGUAAAACAACUUCCUACUUGUAAGCAACUUCAGACUUCCAAGAAGAUGCCUUGCAUUUACUUUGUUUUGCAUUUUUAUCACCCUGACUGGAAACAGGAGGGAGAGCAUCACUGACCGUACUGCUGACCAAGGGGCAGUCGUUGGCUGCAGGCUGUUUGUCUUUAUAUAGAGUCUUGUUGGGGAUUUCCAUUCCCAGGAGAAACAGAUGUGGUAAUUGUAACCCUGCAGAUCUAUGCUGCAAUACUAGAUAAGCCUAAACCGAUUUCUAGCAAGUCUGGAAAAUCUAAUGAAUAAGAGGGCUCCAGGACAUGUGCAUUUAGAUUUGAAGGGAUCUUGAAACAGCAGGCUGGGUGGAAAGGAGACAGCCACGGUGCAGCCUCACUCCCUGGAGCUGAAUCUACUCCUGGACUCUACACCCUUUCUUCAGGCAAUCUCUGAGACACAGCAGCCUCUGAGUGUCGUGGGAGGACCUCACUAACACAGUGCUACAGUGAGCUUGAAAGAUGGUCGCCCCUAAAGCUGGAGCUUCCCUAGGAGAAAAUGGUAGGAAAUCAAGGAUGACAACACAGGUGGCAGUGAGGUGACCUCCAGAGCGCAGUUCUACAUCCAUUUCUCCUCUCUCCUUAUCUCCCUCUUUGAUGGUAUUCGUGGCCAAUGGUGAGAAUGCAAUACUAAUCUAGAGAAAAAAAUUUCUUUCUAAGAUGUUAACAUGCCACAAGAAAAUCACACGAUCAGUUGGAUCUAAAAAGAAACUGCCUCUGAAAUGAAUGUUAUUGCUUAAUGAGUUUGAUCCCCAGUACCAGUAACCUGUGUUUCCCUGAAAAUAAGACCUAACUGGAACGGCCCUAGCUGGUCGUCACCAUGGUGAUGGGCAGGGUUAUGCAGAAGUGUAGCCCUCACCGUUCUCUUGCUUGGUGUCCGGUCUGUAAUGGCAGUUAAGGCAACAAUAGACUGAUAAUCGGUGCUGGCAUCUUUGUCCGAUUUGGGGGAAAAUAGCACAAAACAGUGGAAUGUUGAGUCUUCCUCAUGAGCACUAAAGCCAUAUCCACCCCCUUUUCCUUCCCCCGCAAACCCUCAUGGAAGCAAACAAGGACUAACAUCAAACUAAACCGCACACGUCUCAGAGUGACCCCAGGACCUUUUCCUCCUGUUCCCGCUGUCCUCUCUGACUGCUGCCCCACGCCACUCCCUGACGCUGUGUAGGACCCACACCCCCUAAACAUCAGGCCGACCAGAGGCCACAGCAAACGCUACACACAAGGCCAUAUUUUUCAAGUUACAAAGCAGGCAGAGGAGAGAGGAAAUGUUAGCAUUCAGAUGCAAGAAGCUCUGAAAUCAUAAUCUGCCAAAUAAAACCGUUUCCUUGGAGCUGAGUAAACAUUCUCCCAGGGAGGGACCUGAAGAAUCAGACAGCUCCAUCUAUUUAGGGUUCCCCUGCACCUCCCUUGCUCCUCUGAAUCCGAUCAGCUCUGUAGAAAGCAACCAAGUUUCUUCUGUGAAGCCUCCCUACACCCAGCAUGGGAUCAAAGUAGUGAAACGGAGCCUAGCUGCCAUGAGAUGUUCCCGCCGUCUGCUUCUUCCUCCUUGUUCCUGUCUCUGCACACGUCUUAGCGUUCUUCCUUGUUCAUCUCUGUAGGGUGCAGAUGGGACCAUUGCCAUGAUCACCACCGUCAGAGUCCACUUACUGAACGCCUGCCCUGUGCUAACCACCACGUUUGCAACUUGACAUGAACUACGUCAUAUACUCCUCACAAAACCUAGCGAAGCAGAAGUAUCGCCCCGCUUUAAUGAUGGUGACACUGAGGCAAAGACAGUUUAACAGGCUGGCCAAAGCCCGCACAGAUGAGUGGGUCUUUGAACUGUAAGCUUCUCUCUUCUGAAGGGAAUUUAGAACCUUCAGAAAAAUUGUGACAGAGGCACAGGGUCUCCCUGAGUUGUCCAGGCUGGCCUUGAACUCGUGCUCCUCCUGGCUAACUGGGAUCACAGGCAUACACCGUAGCAUCUGCCUCAAUACCCUCCUUCCCACCACCGGGAAACUACUGUUCUCCACAGCUUUCUCCAACUGCCAGGAAUCUCAUCACUCCCAACGGUAUCUUUCUUGUGUCCUUUUCAGCAAGUGGAAGGGAGGCUUAGCAAAGUCUCAGCACCAGCUAUACUCUGAAGGCAGGGAAACCGUUUGCUUCUCUUUUUCCAACACUCAGCUUCGGUGUCUAAGCCACGGUCCAGUCCUUUGGAAGGAGCUGGGUAAUACGUUGUUAACUGGAAAACAAGCAAUCUUCACUUCCUGUCUCUUCAAGUCAGCAGUCCAGGGAUCAGGACCACAAACCUGUCUCUGGGACAGGCCCGAAGAGAUGGUGGCCUUUAGGUGGGCAGAGAAGAGAGCUGUCAGCGUCCAAGAAAGCCAAGGUCUGGGCAGCCUCCCAGAUGCCUAGGAGCUUUUCCUCUUGCAAUCCGUGCCCCAUGGGACACGUUCCUCCUCCUCAGGGUGGAUCAGACCGACUGACUCACCUCUAACACACUUUGGCCAGACCGAUGGCAUCAUGAAAGCCUACGAAGACACUCCAGGUCCAUCGCAGAGCUCCCUCCCCACGCGGCCUCUUAAAUCAUGUGUUCUCGGGGAAUUUAUCUACCCUGCCGUGAACAGCACCAUCAAAGGGUCACCUGGAAUGUAAACUAGUACAACCAUCGUGGGUGUUGGUAUGGGGAGGACUCGAAAAACUAAAAGCAGGUAUCUUCCCAAAAGAGUUAAAGUCACACAUUAUAGUAAUACAGGCAACCCAUGUAUAUAGCAGCAGAACCCAUAAUAGAUGAAUCUUGACAGUGGCCUAUGUGUCCAUCAGCAGACGAGUAGAUAAAGAAUAUGUGGUACUUAUACACAAUGGAGUUCUGCUCUGCCAUAAAGAAAGAUACACUUGAGUCAUUUAUACAAAAAUGGAUGGAUCUUCAGACCAUAAUGCUAGGUCUAAUAAACCAGACACAGAGGGUUAAAUAUCACAUGGUUUCCCUUACAUGACACUCAGAGUAUAAAUAAUUUAAAGAGAAAAAUAAAGAGAGAUGGUGGGAAAUAAGGCAGUAGACUGCGUGGAGAUGGGAAGAGGGUCUUGAGUAAGAGAAAAGGGGAGGCAGGGAGGGAGGGAUUGAAAUGAUCAAGACGCGACGUGUACAUGUACCAACUCCCCAGAUAAACGGCAUUGUUGUUUAUCACAAACGUGUGAAUCAAAAAGGAAAUGCCCGUGUGAUGCGCAACUCCAGACUUGCAGCAGGCAGACGCACUGUGAGGAGCUCGUGACUCAGUCGUGACCUGGGCCACUGUCCUGGGUGCUUCUGCCUCAGCCUCAGGAGAGAUGCCAAGCUAGAAGGACCCCACUGAGCCCCCAGAUUCCUGACCCACAGAGAUGCAGGUUCAUGCGAGCUUGUUGUUUUAAACCCCAGGAUCUGAGAUAAGUUCCUACGAAGUAUAGAUGUCUAAUACAUUAAAUUAGUUUUCAUGAUGGUUUUUCUCUUCCUGUAAGAUUAUUCAUUUCCUUUGUUGGCUAAUCUGCCUGUUCUAUGUCGCUUAGAUGGCUACUUAUUUUAGACACACAUUACAGGCAGGACAGAAUGCUUUACCCAGCCAGAAAGAAAUGUCAACACAUCAAAUUACAAUCUAGUUUCCUAUGUUAUUGGUAUGAGAAGAAUAAUAAAUUUGACUUGUUCAAGUAGAAAGAAAUGGCUAUAAUUCGUUUCUUAUUAAAGUUUUUUUUUAAACUUCUUACUAUUGUAUAGCCCAAUUUCUAUUGCUAUAACUAGUACUGGAUGCUGGUUACUUUAUAGAGAAGAAAGGCUUAUUUAGCUCCAGUUCGGGCUCCCAGACUGAAGGUCCAAGGUUGUGUGGCCCCUCCUAUCUGACCUAGGGUCCCAACAUGUCAGAAAGCAGAUGGGGACAAACGUGUGGGCUGGCUCCAUUUAUAGCAAGCCACUGUCAGGAAAACUAAACGCCAACGAGGAGCACUAACCUCCCUGAAGGCAGAGCUGAACCUCCUCAGGGCACAGGUCCCUCAGCUCUGCCGCUGAGGACCACACCCCACUCCACGACCUUUGCUGGACAAACCACAUCCACAACAGCGAUUCAAAAUGCUUCAUGACUUUCUGUCCCAACAACUCAAAAGUUGUAAUCAUUUAAGCAGCGUCUGAGGAAUCCAUUGCCCUAGAGCUACUUAAAAAGAACGGCAUAAAAAGCUUGCAAAGGAAAUGCUCACCACCUUGCAGGGACCAUUUUUCCCCAAGUGUGGCAGCACGUUGGUCUACAUCUGAAUGGAAAACUCUUCAAAUGGCCCUGUCUGCUCACCAAACAGGCUCAAGGAGUCUUCUACACAGUUCUCCCCAGCUAAUAUCAGUUUCUCCUUUCUACACUGUGGUCUGCCUGAUUCAUUCAUCCAUCAAACAUAAAAAAGAAUUAGAAAUGAACUAUAGUCGUGUGCACAAAAAAUUUCAUUUACUGACAGAUGGCACAUACUCUGACUGUCGCAGGAGAGCGAUGGCUGAUGGCCCACGGGUGUCUUCAUUUGUGUAAGUACACUCGCUGCUGC